rnacentral:rRNA from 1 species
UAUGUGAUCGUCUCUCGCAUAUCAAUAAGCGGAGGAAAAGAAACUAACAAGGAUUCCCCUAGUAACGGCGAGUGAAGCGGGAAGAGCUCAAAUUUGAAAUCUUAAAGGGUUUCCCUUUACGAAUUGUAGUUUAAAGAAGUGUUUUCUGUUGAGGUUUUGGUAAAAGUUCUUUGGAAUAGGACAUCAUAGAGGGUGAGAAUCCCGUAUUUGACCUUUACUUUCAACUUUGUGAUACACUUUCAAAGAGUCGGAUUGUUUGGGAAUGCAGUCCAAAAUGGGUGGUAAACUUCAUCUAAAGCUAAAUAUUGGCGAGAGACCGAUAGCGAACAAGUACCGUGAGGGAAAGAUGAAAAGAACUUUGAAAAGAGAGUUAAACAGUACGUGAAAUUGUCAAAAGGGAAGCGUUUGACACCAGUGUUGUUUUUCUGAAAAUCAAUUAAAGAACUGUUUAUGCUAAGUUGUUUAGACUUUAUCAGCUAACUGUUUAGUUUUGAGCUUUUCUUUAAUGCACUUUUCAGUUAACAAGUCAACAUCAAUUUCUUUUGCUGUAAAAAAGCUUGAGGAAGGUGGCUUGAGAUUCGUCUUAAGUGUUUAUAGCCUCUUGCCUAUGCAGUCGGAGAGAUUGAGGUCUGCAGCGUAGAUCCUUCGGGGCUAAAUGCAUUUGUGCUAAGUUAUAGCAUUUUAUAGACAACUUGUUGACUAUGAUUUGUCUUGUAGCUUACUCGCUUAUGUUAUUUUACCUACGCUUAGGAUGUUGAUCUACAGAGCGAGAGU